GGGGCUGUGGGGUAGCUUGGUUAUCCUUCCUGGUUAGGGACCAGGAGACCCAGGUUCAAAUCCUGGCAGCCUCA
rnacentral:tRNA from 1 species